UUGAAAUUCCUUUUCCGUAUAAAAGUCUCUUUCAUAUAAUGCAGUUAUUUUGAAAAAACAUCUUUCUGGGAGGGCAACAUGAAAGAGAGAGGGGUUCCGGAAUGCUAGACAUAAAAAUAAAUUAUACACCAGUGAGACAAUAUGUUUUCCAUAGAGAGGAAGAUUUCAUACCUUGCCUGUAUUCAUCAGACAGAGAGAACACCCUCCUGCUGAGAUAUGCACGCUGACUACAACAUGCCACAAGCAGAUGUGUUGUUCAUGGAAUACUUCCAACUGACAGUCUAAUGUGAGUGGAAAACUGAAUGGUAAAGAUUCUGAAUGCUGAACUACUUAAAAUUAUGUAUAUUGUGCUAGUGUCAGAAAGCCCCAGUUGGGACCUGCAAACAAAAGACAACAUGGUCUCUGCUCUUAACCUUUUACAAUCUAAUUUAAACAAAAUGUAGCAAGUAAGGGCAAAAAACAAAAGCAGAAAAGGAGGAAGGGAGGAGGAGAAGGGUAUAAAACAAAAGAUCAUCCAAUUACAGAUGAAGCUACUGAAAAGCACAAUGAAGCUAGGUCAUUUAAAAUCUUGGGGGAGGGGGAUUUAUUUAAAUAUAAAUUGUCAUCUCCACCAGACACACAAGCUAACUAAUCAUCUGCUGGCUGACUUAGCUGGCUGCUUACUUCAGUCUGAUUAAUAUUUCAGUGACGUCAUAAUGCAUUUUAUUUCUCAACAGGGCAAAACAAAUUCAGUCUUGUUAUUAAAUUAGGCACCAUGCUACAAGGACAGAAUCAACUACACAGGCAUGCAUUGUUUGAAACUAACCCAGGAAAAGGGUUAUAAACAGAGGUCACAGACCAGGGGGCAUCUCCUUCUAUUGUGGUCUCCCACCAGAAAUGCUGGCUGACAACUGGGCAGCACAGUCAACAAUUAAAGGAGGACCAAAGAGAGAGAUCAGCAUUACAUUCCGAGAAAAGGGAGCGACAACAGUAAGCCAGCAUACCUAACACUGUGUAAACAGAGAUCUCUAACAGCUUGAACAAUGGAGAUCAUUGAGAGCAAAAUAUAUGAGUACAACUGCCCUGUCACGUGUGUACUAAGUGGAAUAAAGGCGUUGUGUCAGACCGUAUUCCUGUGUCAAUAAGGUAUGUGGUAAUUCCAAGAAAUGAAGUGACCCUUGAGCCCGUUACACAUGUACUUCCUG